GGAGUUAGCCGGUGCUUCUUCUGUGAGUGAUGUCCUUCCUGCCGGCUAUUAACCCGCAGGCCUUCUUCCUCACUGAAAGUGCUUUACAACCCGAAGGCCUUCUUCACACACGCGGCAUGGCUGGAUCAGGGUUGCCCCCAUUGUCCAAUAUUCCCCACUGCUGCCUCCCGUAGGAGUCUGGGCCGUGUCUCAGUCCCAGUGUGGCUGAUCAUCCUCUCAGACCAGCUACGGAUCGUCGCCUUGGUGAGCCGUUACCUCACCAACCAUCUAAUCCGACAUAGGCUCAUCCGAUAGCGCGAGGCCCGAAGGUCCCCCGCUUUCCCCCGUAUGGCGUAUGCGGUAUUAGCCUGGGUUUCCCCAGGUUAUCCCCCACUACCGGGCAGAUUCCUAUGCAUUACUCACCCGUCCGCCGCUCGCCACCAGGGAGCAAGCUCCCCGUGCUGCCGCUCGACUUGCAUGUGUUAGGCCUGCCGCCAGCGUUCAAUCUGAGCCANAGAUACAACUCNCGACGUAGACGGCGGCGUCGACGACGGCGACA
rnacentral:rRNA from 1 species